UAUUAUAGGCUCAACAAUUGGGUUUGGUUUUCGCAAUAAACAUGGCAAACUAUCUUAACCUCAGAAUCUCUCUAAAUUGAGCUAAUUACGUCUCCCUUACCAUUCGUAGCCCCGCUUGGUCUAGAACGAGCUUCCCUUGGGUCAGGAGUGUAUCGAGCAUAUCCAAAAACCAGGUACAUAAAAGGCCAUCGCAUUGUGGAGCUCUUCAUCUACUUAACGGACUUUCAUUGAAUUAUGUCUUUUUAUUUUGAAGUCUUCCAUUGUAGAUUUUAUUUUUUACCAUCAAGUUUGUAAGUCAGAUAAAUAAUGUUUCAAAUUACAUCAUGGUUGUUUUUACUAUCUUUUGAUUCUUAAAUGAAUAUGGCUUAAAUAUA